UUUAUUUAUUUAUUUAUUUAUUUAUUUAUUUAUUUGAGAGAGAAAGAGAGAGAGAGCACAUAAGCAAACAUGGGGAGGGGAAGCGGGGGAAGGAGAAGGAGAGGGAAAGAGAAUCCCAGAUAGACCCUGUGCUGAGUGUGGGGCCCCAUGCGAGUCUUGAUCCCACAAUCCUGAGACCCUGACCUGAGCCAAAACCAAGAAUUGAAUGCACAACCAACUCAGCUACCAAGGCACCCUAUUGACCAUCUUUUUAAAUGGGUAUAGAAUAAUCUGAAGUGUAGUUGUUUUGUAGUUUAUUUGACCACUUUGCUUGGAACAAUAAUCAGAUUUUUCCCCUGACUUUUGCCUGUCAUAAGCCAUACUUCAAUGUUGAACAUUCAUUGUUGUACAGAUGUGCAAGCAUUUAAGUAGGACACAUCCUUAGGCACAGAUGCUAGUCAAAGAGCAUACAUGCUUAAAAUGUUAAUACAUGCCACUAUAUUGCUUUCCCUGAAAGCUUUGCCAAUUAUUUAUACUCUCACCAAUAAUUUAUCAGGAUCCUAGAGCAAGGCAUUUCCACUCUAAAGAAGAAGAUGAUUAAUUAUCUCAUCAUAAAUUGUGACCAGAUAAAUUCAGUGAUUGUGUAUAUAUUUAUGUAUGUAAUAUGAUAAGUUAGCAAAGAUAUUGGCCCCUUUAUAUCAGACUCAUAUUAAAAGUCUCCUUACUCAGGGGCACCUGGGUGGCUCAGUUGGUUAAGCAUCUGCCUUUGGCUCAGGUCAUGAUGUCAGCGUCCUGGGAUCCAGCCCUGAGUCCAGUUCUCUGCUCAACAGGGAGUCUUCUUCGCCUUCUCCCUCUGCCCCUCCCCAAAUUUGUGCUUGCGCAUGCACACACAUGCUCUCCCUGUCUCUCUUUCUCUCUCAAAUAAAUAAAAUCUUUAAAAGUCUCCUUACAUAAAUUAAUGUUUCUGAAUCAGUGGUUAUGUCUAAUUAAGAACACAAAUUCAUAGAGACAGAGGGAGUGGACAUGGGCAAACACUUACUAUUCAUCAAGAUAUGAAUAUCAGCACCUAAUUCUUAAACAAAAUUUUAAAAGAAUAUACUCUAAAAGUAUUGCAUGAUUAAAAUAAAGGAUGGAAAGGACUUCUAUAUUGUUUAAUCAAAAUGUAAAUUUAAUCAGUGUUAUGGCUUGCGUUCUAUCACUCCAUUCAGAGGAGCAAGAGCAAUUAAAAUAUUACAUUAGCUCAACACUUAUGAAUUUGGGCAAUAAGCGUGUACUAAAAAAGGACCCUAGAGAAACAUGUAAGCUUAGAAUUAUCUUUUUAUUCAACAUGUGCUCUGUUAUCUUGGGAACUCUAGAAUCAGUGGCAAAACUCUCACAGCUAGGCUAACUACUUUCAUAAGACCUGCUUUAUUUAAAAAUAAAUCCAGAGCAGAUGCCAGAACUGGACCUGGUGACAAAUAUUUAUCCUUUUCAUGGUGUUUCUUUCCUGUGGCAUUGCACAGUUGGUUCCUGAUCUCCAUUUUGAUGGUACCAAAGGGCAGCAUAAUUCUUGCCAAAUGCAUGCAAAUAGAAUGCCUAUUUUCUAUGGAGCUGCUCUGGCUUUUUUUCUGUGCUCUCUCUCCAGAUAUCUAGUUUCCUAAUAGCUGCCAGUGCUUGCCCCUAGAGAGCCAUCUGCCUCGUCAGUUUUGCCCUUCUCAGAGACUCCCCUCCUCCAUUCCCACAUCCCAUCCUUUCCACUAACUUGAGCCAACAUUCACUGAUGUCUGCUCUGUGCCCAGCUGCCCACAUCAUGCCAGGUCUUUGGAUACAGAGAGAAUCCAAUUCUCACUUGCAGGAAAAUUUCAACUUAGUGGAAUUUUCUAGAGUUAACUUGAUAAACUUAUCUAAGAUCAAGUGUUACAAAAGACAAAGUCUAAUCAAUAACUCACAUCCUCUAGGCAUUCAUAUUUAACAGGCAUCUAUGAGGCUAAGUAAUGGAAAAACUUUAGCCACUGGGUUAAGGCCAGUGGAUUGUCCUUUUUAUUUUUACUAGUGUGGAGGGUCACUUUCAAACCAAGAAGGUGACUCUACCUCCCUUUGAGAUCCCCUCUAGCAAACAAGAAGAAACACUUUUCUUAGGUAGGCUUAUAUCACACAGACCUGUUAUGUAUGUUAACAUUUAUUUUUUGUAUUUACAGCGCCAAUCUCAGUUUUAUGUACUUGAUUUAUCAUCCCUUCCCAGACAGAGAAUUUAUAGCAAUACCUAUGGCCUGUGUGAGUAAGGCCAAGCUUAUCUGAAUAGGAUUUAUAUUGUAGUCAAGUGUUCCCCUUUUCACAAAGAAGAAAGCAGCUCCUAUUGUGAAAUGCAGGGCUACUGCUGGUUGACCUGCAUGCGCUCUGUCUGGCAGGAUUUCCACAAACCGCAAUAGAGAGCCCAGAGGGGUCCAGGACAGUAUGGAGAAUGUGCUCAAAUCACCUUGGGGAGGGCAGCCCCGGUGGCUCAGCAGUUUGGUGCUGCCUUCGGCCCAGUGCGUGAUUCUGGAGACCUGGGAUCGAGUCCCACGUUGGGUUCCCUGCAUGGAGCCUGCUUCUCUCUCUGCCUGUGUCUCUGCCUCUCCCUCUCUCUCUCUCUCUCUCUCUCUCUCUUUGUCUCUCUCUCUCUGUCUCUCAUGAAUAAAUCUUUAAAAAAAUGACCUUGGGGAGACAGACCUCUAGCCAUCGACCAUGGGCAUGGAGCUGCUGACAGAAGUGUGCCAGUUGCAGUUGCAAACCUUAGAAAAACAAAAUGAUCAAACCAAACCAGUCACCAUAGACAUGACCUGCUUCUCUCAGAUGCACUCUGGCAUAUUCCCAUUUGCUGUGAGUAAAGCAAGAAAAACAAACAGUACCUUAUUCCAUGUGUAACAAUGCUAUACUAUACACUUAAAAAUUAAAAAUUUAAGAGAAUAGAUCUCAUGUUGUCUGUUAACACACACACACACACACACACACACACACACAGACCUCUGUCCUGCUGGACCUCUGUUGUGCUCUCAGCUCGUUGUCACUGGCACACCUUUCACGAGUCCACACCACUGUGGCAGACAGUGUUAGCUUCAAAGGAUAUGUACUCUCCUCUCUUCCUUACUACUAGAAUCCCAGUUUCAUCUGGGGCAAUAAUACGUCCACUUAAAUAUUCCCUCCAGACUCCCUUGCAGCUAGGGGUGGCUCUGUGGCCCAGCUCUGGCCUCUGAUAUAUGAGUAGAAGUUGCCAUCCCAUCCACUUUCUUCCUGGAAUGUGUUUACGCAGUGGCCACAAAGACAAAAGCUACACAUUGAGGAAGAAAACAGCAGGUACUUAGAGCAGCUCACGUCGCUGACAGUGCUGCUGAGUGGCUGAACCUGCUCUGGAUUGUUUUCCCCACGUCUUCCAUGUGAGAUCAAUAAAUCCUUACGUGUUUAGUCUGGAUUUCUGAUACUUGCUGCAGAAAGCAGAUCAUUGACUGGGCCACUUUCCCGAGGCAAUGCUUUCUUUUGGCGUUGUGCUUCUGGGACUUCAAAAGUAAUCAGAACUUUAGGUUUCAACGUUGAUGGUGCACAUACCUAGCAUUCCUGGGAAGUAGCAACUGUUAAAGAUUUCCGCACACCGCAUAUGGGUGUUGAGGGAAAGGGCUUAUUGACCCAUCUUCCAGAAGAGCAAAAAUAGAACGAGGUUGGCAGCUCAUAGCUGCAUAGUACUACAUAGAUUACUGUGCAGGAUAUUUCACAAAACAAUACACCUGACAUUUGUCAAGUCCC
rnacentral:lncRNA from 1 species